rnacentral:rRNA from 1 species
UACGAAGGGGGGCUAGCGUUGCUCGGAAUCACUGGGCGUAAAGCGCACGUAGGCGGACUCUUAAGUCGGUGGUGAAAUCCUGGAGCUCAACUCCAGAACUGCCUUCGAUACUGAGAGUCUUGAGUCCGGGAGAGGUGGGUGGAACUGCGAGUGUAGAGGUGAAAUUCGUAGAUAUUCGCAAGAACACCAGUGGCGAAGGCGGCUCACUGGCCCGGUACUGACGCUGAGGUGCGAAAAGCGUGGGGGAGCAAACAGGG